GAUGAACGCUGGCGGCGUGCCUAAUACAUGCAAGUCGAGCGGACGGACGAGACGCUUGCGUCUCUGAUGUUAGCGGCGGACGGGUGAGUAACACGUGGAUAACCUACCUAUAAGACUGGGAUAACUUCGGGACACCGGAGCUAAUACCGGAUGAUAUUUUGAACCGCAUGGUUCAAAAGUGAAAGACGGUCUUGCUGUCACUUAUAGAUGGAUCCGCGCUGCAUUAGCUAGUUGGUAAGGUAACGGCUUACCACGGCGACGAUGCAUAGCCGACCUGAGAGGGUGAUCGGCCACACGGGAACUUGGACGCGCUCCAGACUCCUACGGUAGGCAGCAGUAGGGAAUCUUCCGCAAAGGGCGAGAGCCUGACGGAGCAACGCCGCGUGAGUGAUGAAGGUCUUCGGAUCGUAAAACUCUCUUAUUAGUGAAGAACAUAUGUGUAAGUAACUGUGCACAUCUUGACGGUACCUAAUCAGAAAGCCACGGCUAACUACGUG
rnacentral:rRNA from 1 species